CCUACGGGGUGCAGCAGUGGGGAAUAUUGGACAAUGGGCGAAAGCCUGAUCCAGCCAUGCCGCGUGUGUGAAGAAGGCCUUCGGGUUGUAAAGCACUUUCAGUGGGGAAGAAAGCCUUGGGGCUAAUACCCUCGAGGAAGGACAUCACCCACAGAAGAAGCACCGGCUAACUCCGUGCCAGCAGCCGCGGUAAUACGGAGGGUGCGAGCGUUAAUCGGAAUUACUGGGCGUAAAGCGCGCGUAGGCGGUCUGAUAAGCCGGUUGUGAAAGCCCCGGGCUCAACCUGGGAACGGCAUCCGGAACUGUCCGGCUAGAGUGCAGGAGAGGAAAGUAGAAUUCCCGGUGUAGCGGUGAAAUGCGUAGAGAUCGGGAGGAAUACCAGUGGCGAAGGCGGCCUUCUGGACUGACACUGACGCUGAGGUGCGAAAGCGUGGGUAGCAAACAGGAUUAGAUACCCGGGUAGUC
rnacentral:rRNA from 1 species